GGUCUGACUGGUCUGUGAUAGGGAGUGAGGGGUGAGGAGGUUAGGGGGAGGUGUGACUGGUCUGUGAUAGGGAGUGAGGGGUGAGGAGGUUAGGGGGAGGUCUGACUGGUCUAAGAUACGGAGGAGUUUCAUUAAAUGUUUUAUUCAACCUUUAUUUCACUAGUUAAGUCAGUUAACAGCUAAUUCUUAUUUACAAUGACGGGCUACACCGGUCAGACCCGGACAAUGCUUGGCCAAUUGUGUGCCGCCCUACGGGACUCCCGAUCACAGCUGGUUGGAUUCGAACCAGGGUGUCUGUAGGGUCGCCUCCAG
ensembl:lncRNA